GUUCCCUCAUUUCAGAAAUGCCAGUAAUUGUGAAUUAAACACAGAUCAGGGAUGAGUUUGUUUAGGGAAAAUAUGCCUUUCUAAAUAGUCAGCACUAAGAAAAAUAAUCUUUUAAAGGGUAAUUUAAAUAGCAGGUUUAAAAAAUGUAAUACAUGAGCUUUCGAGAAAGAACUACUCAGUGCUUCUUUUACAAAGAAUAUAUCAUCUAUAAAAUCAAUGUAGACAAUGCAGUGUUUGAGCAGUGAUCAUGGUGGUGAAUUCACAGCAAGCUGCAGGCAGGUUAAUAUGGACUGAUUGUGAGAUUUGGUUCCUCUUGGUUCUUGCUAAUUUCUUUUCCAAAACUGCUACAUGGGCUGCAUUUUCUAUUGCAAAAGUAAAUUUGGCCAGAGAACCUGAAAUCCUAAUGAAGACAAAGUGAUACAAGUUUUGGUAGAAGGGUUGUGUGCUUUCUGGGGUCUGAAGAAAAGGAUGCUGCUUCUGGACCUUGGAAAGAUGUUUCCUGAGGAGGCAGCCGACGUGCCUGAGGGGAGGCUGAAUGCAGGAGGACUGGAAAAAAAAGGCACUCAGACUGUGACUGCACCUGGAAAAAACAACUUUAAGGAGGUGGGAAAGACUGCAGACAGUUUCCUGAAGGAGUGUGAAAAUGGCAUUUGCUGCAGAAAGUUGGAAUUGUGGAUACCCUGCAUCCUGAACCUGCUGCAGAAGAUCUGGAGUACCUGCAGGAGAGCGAAGACAGUAAAACUGCAUUCGUACUUCGUGGGAGUGAAUUACAGCAAGGACUUCUACCUGCAGCAACAACACCCAGGUUAA
rnacentral:lncRNA from 1 species